UGUGGAUACCAUCGUUGAAGACGCUAAACUCGGAAGUAAGGUGAAAAUCUACGGCACAGUUUUCAUCAGAUCCACCGUCGGUAAAAACCCAGUUCUGCAGCUGUCCUUCUCAAGGCCCGAUGGUACCAAACUACCUUGCGUGGAGAAGAUUUUGCCAUGCAAUCUGAACCUCUGUGAUGGAAAAACACGCACUGAGAAGCGACUGAACAAGGCGUGGAACAACAGAUGCCCCGUCCACCCAGGCACGUACAACGCGGAGUUAGUGUUCCGUUUGCCAAACAACAAGGAGGCGAAGGAAUACUUCGGGGAUGGAAACGUUGUAGCCACUGUGAAGAUUGUGGACGACGGCCAACUUCUGGGGUGUGCGACCUAUCCGAUCAAAGUGGACGUCGAUUGAAAAGCGAUGUGUGGAGCUGAUGUCUCUGCACAACGCCAUUUACGAAAUGAAGGCUGCUACAAACUAGA